GGGGUUUUGGCUCAACUUGGUAGAGCGUCAGGCUCCAGACCUGAAGGUUGGGGGUUCAAAUCCCUCAGACCCCA
rnacentral:tRNA from 8 species